rfam:Triticum aestivum genome assembly, contig: Triticum_aestivum_CS42_TGACv1_scaffold_196494_3AL
GAGAGCCAAAUGAAUUGAAAGAUUCAUGUUUGGUUCGGGAAGAGAUCAUAAAAGUUGUGAGUAAAAUGUUGCAUACUGUGCUUGUUCUGAUUCUAUUUUGC